CCUACGGGUGGCAGCAGUGAGGAAUAUUGGUCAAUGGACGAGAGUCUGAACCAGCGAAGUAGCGUGAAGGAUGACUGCCCUAUGGGUUGUAAACUUCUUUUAUAUGGGAAUAAAAUGUUCCACGUGUGGGAUUUUGUAUGUACCAUAUGAAUAAGGAUCGGCUAAAUCCGCGCCAGCAGCCGCGGUAAUACGGAGGAUCUGAGCGUUAUCCGGAUUUAUUGGGUGUAAAGGGAGCGUAGGUGGAUUGUUAAGUCAGUUGUGAAAGUUUGCGGCUCAACCGUAAAAUUGCAGUUGAAACUGGCAGUCUUGAGUACAGUAGAGGUAGGCGGAAUUCGUGGUGUAGCGGUGAAAUGCUUAGAAAUCACGAAGAACUCCGAUUGCGAAGGCAGUUCACUGGACUGCAACUGACACUGAGGCUCGAAAGUGUGGGUAUCAAACAGGAUUAGAUACCCCUGUAGUC
rnacentral:rRNA from 1 species